GACGAACGCUGGCGGCGUGCUUAACACAUGCAAGUCGAACGGAAAGGCCCUGCUUUUGUGGGGUGCUCGAGUGGCGAACGGGUGAGUAACACGUGAGUAACCUUCCCUUUACUUUGGGAUAACUUCAGGAAACUGGGGCUAAUACCGGAUAGGAGCUCCUGCUGCAUGGUGGGGGUUGGAAAGUUUCGGCGGUUGGGGAUGGACUCGCGGCUUAUCAGCUUGUUGGUGGGGUAGUGGCUUACCAAGGCUUUGACGGGUAGCCGGCCUGAGAGGGUGACCGGCCACAUUGGGACUGAGAUACGGCCCAGACUCCUACGGGAGGCAGCAGUGGGGAAUAUUGCACAAUGGGCGGAAGCCUGAUGCAGCAACGCCGCGUGCGGGAUGAAGGCCUUCGGGUUGUAAACCGCUUUCGCCUGUGACGAAGCGUGAGUGACGGUAAUGGGUAAAGAAGCACCGGCUAACUACGUG
rnacentral:rRNA from 1 species